GGUUCGGGUCCCAUCGUGUAACAGGGACUCGGCCCUCCUAAUUGGAGGAGUUUGUGGUGAGCUGAACAAGAUAAACUGAUACAAGUGCGCCGCGAGAUAAGCCGAGUCUGCCUCCCGUAAUUGGCUGAAUUCGAAAGUGAAGAGGCCUCGCGUGGACGGAUCAACCAGCUUCCACCGCGAAGCGGUCGAUCAUCGCCGAUCCCACGGAGAUAGCGACCAUCCCCGAGAUCCAGAAAACAGCUGAACCGAGCACGAAGGUCGCCGGCCAUGGAAUAUAAUUAGUCCGCCACUUACGGAGCAGCCGGAGUAGCUACGGGUCCGCUGAAACAUGCGGUCCGCGCAUCGGAAAUCGGUCUUUGUGCGAACACGUGCGGACCACAAGCGACCCGUUUCCUUCUUAAACGCAACGGGGACCCUGGAAAACCCCAACGUGGCCGGCCGCACGGAAAACCCUUGAACGGUCAGAUUUUCAGAAACAUUUGGCCACCGCCAAGGACUUCCUGCCUCUUACGGAGACGCCUCGGCUCCGAUAGGAUUCUCCGAACGCCUGGGAUAUUAACGUUCCAUUGUUCCACGCGUCUUCCCUCUGAAUUGUUAAAGAACCCACGGACGUGUGAGCGGAGAAUAGGAUUCCGGGGGGAUGCUUUGAAAUUUUUCAGACAAUUCGUUUCGCGGUGAACGGAGGAGAGAACGCGGGAGCACGGGAAAAGGGCGA